rnacentral:rRNA from 1 species
CGUAGGUGGCGAGCGUUGUCCGGAAUUACUGGGCGUAAAGGGAGCGUAGGCGGUUUUUAAGUGGGAUGUGAAAUCCCCGGGCUUAACCUGGGAAUGGCAUUCCAAACUGGGAAACUAGAGUGCAGGAGAGGAAAGUGGAAUUCCAAGUGUAGCGGUGAAAUGCGUAGAGAUUUGGAGGAACACCAGUGGCGAAGGCGACUUUCUGGACUGUAACUGACGCUGAGGCUCGAGAGCGUGGGGAGCAAACAGGAUUAGAUACCCUGGUAGUCCACGCUGUAAACGAUGAAUACUAGGUGUUGGGGGCUAAGCCCUCAGUGCCGCAGUUAACACAUUAAGUAUUCCGCCUGGGGAGUACGAUCGCAAGAUUA